rnacentral:tRNA from 1 species
GAGAGUAUAGCUCAGUGGCAGAGCCGGUGCCUAACAUACACAAGGUCCUAGGUUCAAUCCCCAGUACCUCCA